rnacentral:rRNA from 1 species
AUUGAACGCUGGCGGCAUGCUUUACACAUGCAAGUCGAACGGUAACAGGCCGCAAGGUGCUGACGAGUUGCGAACGGGGGGGUAAUGCAUCGGAACGUUCCCAGUCGUGGGGGGUAACUACUCGAAAGAGUGGCUAAUACCUCAUACGAACUAUGUUUUAAAGCGUGGGACCGUAAGGCUUCGCUCGAUUGGAGCGGCCGAUGUCAGAUUAGGUAGGUGGUGGGGUAAAGGCUCACCAAGCCAACGAUCUGUAACUGGGCUGAUAGGACAACGACCCACACUGGGACUGAGACACGGCCCAGACUCCUACGGGAGGCCGCAGUGGGGAAUUUUGGACAAUGGGGGCGAGCCUGAUCCAGCAAUGCCGCGUGAAGGAAGAAGGCCUUCGGGUUGUAAACUGAUUUUGUACGGAGCGAAACGGCUCUGGUUAAUACCCGGGGCUAAUGACGGUACCGUAAGAAUAAGCACCGGCUAACUACGUG